ACGUGAUUCGCUUUGAUUUUCUCGUCAAUGUAGUCAUCUACUGGAUUUCAUCUUCAAUAUUCACUGUCCGUAUAUUCUGACGGGAUUGGGGUGGGACUUGGAACGGUCCCCCUUAACUUCUCUGGACUCUUCCGGGAUCCGGCAGCUUCGUUGAGAACUCCAGAAGACAGGGCACUAAUUCUGUCAAUGUCUGAGCAUACUGAGAUUGCUGCAUUCUAAAGUAGCCAUCGCCAUUCGCCACGGCCACUCCUCUUUGCUUUCAAAAGAAGGAACUUUAUUCGAAAGACUGGACUGCUACCUACUGGGGCUUACCAUGGACCAGGAUUGGGAAACACCCUUGGCUACUUCUGAACACAUCACUGCUGCAUUUUGCUCAACGUUUCAUUUUUGUCUCAGACAGAAUGCUAUUCUUUUCUAUAGAAUCUUUUUGUGAGAUUUGAACUGGCUUCCACUGGAACAAAAACAUGUCAUGCAAACCAGGAGUGAAGUGCCAAAGAAACGAAGGAAUGAUGUCUUGAGAAGAUGUGAGAUAUGUUAUCUCUUACAGUUGGCCAUGCAUUCGAAGGAAAAAUGGGAUAAGAUCAUAUAUGAGAGUGAGCUAACCUGAAUGUUGGCUUUGAAGCCACAUACUCGGUGGAUGAACUAGCUAUCAGUAUUCUAAAUGGCUGAGCUUUUUUUCAAGCUGAACCUUAUCCUGUCAUUUAGCAGGUGAGAAACAGGAUUUAAUUGUGGGACACACUGAAUCAGGCUUGUAAAUUGCUUGAUAUUUUGAAGUCCAUCUGGAAGGAUGUUAUGAACGUAGGUUCUAGCGAUGUACAGAUGCUCAAAAAGCCGUUCUUCGAGUAAAAGAACGUAUAAGAGACUGCAAGUGUUGUACACAAUUCAAAGUUCAAAGAUUGCUUCUUGUUAUGUAAUUUGAAUACAUUGCUCUACUGAAACCAAUACUGAUUUCUUUGUGAAUGUACACUGCUUCUGAUGAAAUAUGGAAUAGUUGAUUUUGCCAUGGCAUAGGUGACUGGUUAAAAAGUUUGUUAGUCAAUGAAUAUUUUUUGU